rnacentral:rRNA from 1 species
UGCGGAGGGUGCAAGCGUUAAUCGGAAUUACUGGUCGUAAAGCGUGCGCAGGCGGUGAUGUAAGACAGUUGUGAAAUCCCCGGGCUCAACCUGGGAACUGCAUCUGUGACUGCAUCGCUGGAGUGCGGCAGAGGGGGAUGGAAUUCCGCGUGUAGCAGUGAAAUGCGUAGAUAUGCGGAGGAACACCGAUGGCGAAGGCAAUCCCCUGGGCCUGCACUGACGCUCAUGCACGAAAGCAUGGGGAGCAAAAGGG